GUGCCAGCAGCCGCGGUAAUACGUAGGUGGCAAGCGUUGUCCGGAAUUAUUGGGCGUAAAGGGAGCGCAGGCGGUUGGAAUAGUCUGAUGUGAAAGCCCACGGCUUAACCGUGGAAGGUCAUUGGAAACUGUCCAACUUGAAUGCAGAAGAGGUAAGUGGAAUUCCAUGUGUAGCGGUGAAAUGCGUAGAUAUAUGGAGGAACACCAGUGGCGAAGGCGACUUGCUGGUCUGUGAUUGACGCUGAGGCUCGAAAGCGUGGGUAGCGAACAGGAUUAGAUACCCUGGUAGUCC
rnacentral:rRNA from 1 species